UUCACGAUCAGGGAAGAAACGACCGGAACAGUUCUGUUCAUCGGUAACCUGCUCAACCCUCUUGCCGGCUGAGUGUUACAACCCCCUGGGAAAGGGCAUCAGAUGUACGUAGAAUAAUACGCGCGAGACUGUAGUAAAUAAAAUGUAUGAUCCUUGUAUACAUGUACUAUGUUUGGUUAUUACCUAAUCACCCUGUACUUGCAGCAGUUGGUCUUGUUUCUCCCAUGUGGCGAUUUUUGUUUGUUCUCCCAUGGCGUUUAUCCAUGUGUAGAAUCUUGAUUCUGAAUACUUAUUUUAUGAUGUACUCUGUUUGAACAAUAAAAGUUUUAGCCGACUGCAAACGUCGGUUAGUGUUAAAGUAUUUAAUAUAUAGAAUGGACGAGUGCUAGUGUUGUACCAUACACAUGGUUGGUGAUGAAAAAGAUUAAACUUUGAAUAUUCUAUAAAAUAUUAUUUAACUUGGGACGAGGAUCUUCUUUGUGAGGAUCUUAUGAAUUAAUUUAUCUUAACGGUUCAUUGUACAUCGUGUGACCAUCUUUCAUUAGAUACUUUUUGUGUUAAAUUUUAAAUAAAUUCAAAAUAAUUUUUGGCUGCAGGAUGAUUGAUAAACAGAUAUGAUGCAUUGAUUCCUAAAGUCCUCACAAAGAGAAUCCGGAUGUUUAUAGUCCUCCAUGACUGGAGAUGGCCUAAGAUGCUAAACACUUAACACUACCCAAUUUUUCCAGUUAGUUAAAUUUUCACAAUUAGUGUAUUAAAUUGCUUAAGAAAUGUUAUCAGCACUCUAAAAUAAUUGACCAUAUUUUCUUGACUCUUUUGUUAAAUUGCAUGAAGAUUUUUUUGGAUAGUCAAUAAUAUCUCCCAAUUGCUUAACAUAGAAUUAAAUAGAGUAUCGCUAACUAGAGCAUGAUAUGUUUCUGUGUCUUUGAUGCCCUUUGCUCGAGAAAAUUUAGUAUAGGGUUUUCAUCACAAAUGGUCCCUGACAUUGAUCAAACACAUCAUUUUGGUCCCUGACAUUGAAAAUCAAUAGAAAUGGUCCCUGACAUUGAUCAAACACAUCAUUUUGGUCCCUGACAUUGAAAAUCAAUAGAAAUGGUCCCUGACAUUGAUCAAACACAUCACAAAUAGUCCUUCCGUUAAAAACGUUUUGGGCAAUUUUCAAAGCUUUGUAACUCAAUCGUUUCUUAACCAAAUUCGACCCAUAAUAUAUCAAAAUGAAGAUAGGAAAGUGUAGAACAAGAUUAUACCUAUUUGGAAACCCAAUGGUUGCCGGAGAUGGCCGGAAAACAGCCUCAAAUGUGACUGGUCCGCGAAAAAACUGGAAAACUCGCCUGAAAUGGGGUAAACUUUAAACAUUCAUAACUUCUUCAAUAAUCAACGAAAUCGAGUGAUUCAAAAAUGAAAAUCAUACUUCUCGACGAGACUAAGAGAAUGGUAGCUUUCUUGAUGGCUAACUCAUUGUAGUUUGGCCGGAAAAUGACUCGAAAUUGGCUAACUCGAAAAUGGUUAUCCAAGUUCGAGCCAUUUUCCGGUCAAACCACGGUAAAUUAGUAGUCAAUAAAGAUACCAUUAUCUUUCUCUCAUUGAGAAGUAUGAUUUUCAUUUUUGAAUCACUCAAUUUCAUUGAGUAUUGAAGAAGUUAUGAAUGUUUAAAGUUUACCCCAUUUCAGGCGAGUUUUUCAGUUUUUUCGCGGACCAGUCACAUUUGAGGCUGUUUUCCGGCCAUCUCCGGCAACCAUUGGGUUUCUAAAUAGGUAUAAUCUUGUUCUACACUUUCCUAUCUUCAUUUUGAUAUAUCAUGGGUCGAAUUUGGUUAAGAAACGAUUGAGUUACGAAGCUUUGAAAAUUGCCCAAAACGUUUUUAACGGAAGGACCAUUUGUGAUGUGUUUGAUCAAUGUCAGGGACCAUUUCUAUUGAUUUUCAAUGUCAGGGACCAAAAUGAUGUGUUUGAUCAAUGUCAGGGAUCAUUUGUGAUGAAAACCCUUUAGUAUAUGAACGACAAACUACGUGUUAUUACGGCCACAGACGAUAAUCCAGACUAUUUGUUUAAUACUUAAGCUUACUUGUGGUCCCAUUAUGUAAAAAAAUUUUGCAUUAGUCUGCACACAAGAAAUUUUUUAUUGGUUUCAGUUGAGCUCAAAUAAUAAUAAUCUGUUCGUGUAAAAGUUAAAAUUUAUCUUAUUAUGUAAUUGAUUUAAAAUACCGUAAAUACUGAUUUAAAAUUAUCUCAUUGUCAGCUUGUGUGUCAUUCUCGUAGAAUUUGGAAUUAUUCACAUUGUUUAGUAACGUAGGAUAUUUCAAGAAGCAUUUUUGCUCACUAUCAUUUAGUGUAAUGUAUAUUCAUCAUUCUAUUUAUCAUCGUUAGAUGAGUUUGAAUUUUAAGAUCCGUGUAGUGGAUAGACACAAAUUUCAAAAUUCAAUCUCAUCUAACGAUAAUAAAUAUGAUGAUGAACAUAAAUCAAAUAAAUGAUGAUGAAAAAAAAUACAUAGAUAUUUCAGUACAUGAAAACGUCACGUUAAUGAAAGGAGCUGGAGCGCCUGCUGCUGACCUCGGUCAAACAGACGGUGUGGGUUUCACGUGGCUGGCGCGAAAUCUAAACCGUUAAUUUAAUGUUAGUUAUCUCUCCCCUUGUCACGACUCCCAUGUAAUGCUGUAAAGUCACAAGCACCCAUCGUUUGGUUCUAAUAUUACAACAGUACCGCCCAUGGAAACACAAUCUUAAGCAAUCUCUAAUACUCAUAAUGUUGUUGAAGUUUUGCACUAAUAAUAGUUGCUAAACAGUGAUUAGACAGUCAGAUAAGAGACAGGGUUUAUGAUGUGAUUUGGACGUCCCAUCCUUUGCCACUUAAAAUGUCUUACCUACCAAACAUAUCUUGAAAAAUAAUUUAGCUUGGUACGAAGAAUCACAAUUUUUGUUUAUAAUUGACGAAAUCAAUCAAUGCAUGUUUUUUAUCAAAUCAAUAUUUAUUGGGAUAUUCAUCCUUAAAAUCUUCAUUUUGUUAUAAAACAACAAUAUAUUUAUUAUUUUUAAAAUUUUGUAAUACGUUUAUUUAAGUAGUGACUUUGAACGUUUUAAAAUUGAAAAAUCAAUAUUUAAAUGCAAAGUUGUCCGUUUUGAAUAAUCUCUAACAAUAUUUUCCUUCUCGUAAAUGAGUAAGAUUGGUUUAUUUUGUACACAAUUAGAUAUUGAGAGUUGAAAUUCUAAAUACUAAGUUCUUCUUAACAUAUUUUCGUAACCAUUUAAGAUGUUUGUAUAUUCGAAGAAUAUGGAAAAAUUGAAUCAACCCAGAUUAUUAUUAUGGCUGUCGACAUCUUUUAUCAGAGGAUAGCCAUCAAGUCACACCGCAUAUCCAGAAAGAGAAAUCCAUCCAAAAAAUAGGAAAACGAAAUGACAUUCCUUAUUUUCCUCCAUGGACGUCCCUUCUCUCCCCACCACGAAGGUCCCAGCUGAAAAGAAACGGAUGGCACAAUCGUGAUUAUCACAAACAGGAAUGUCAAAUUGUAGCAAGAGCAUGGUCAGCGCCGUUACAAAUAAGUGGAAGUUCCUCGGAAGAGUAAGAGAACGCGACAAUCAUAACGUAAUCUAUCUCUUCACUUUCUCAAUCCUUUUCUAUCUUUUUUUUCUUUCUGGGUUCCUUGUACUUCUCAUAAAUAUUAAGAGUUUAAUUCAAAAGAAAGGAACUUUCUCUUUCAUUGCUUACAUUUUUUUUUUCAGAUUAUUUACUUUCCCUUCCUUGCAGUUGCUUGGAAGAAACCAAGCUCAGAAGACCUUUGUUUUUUGAGAAUUCAGUUCAAUCCGUUUAUAUAUAUAUAUAUAUAUGGUGUUGAUGAUUUACCAGAAGUGAUAGUGCUUCAACCGAGAAGAAGAAGCUUUUAGUCUUCAGAAAUUCAGAGAAAAGAUAAGGAAGUGGAAGAGUGAAGGAAAAGCAAAUCAAAAGAUGGGAGAAACUGCUCCUCAUCCUCCACCACAGGUGGUUGCUCGGCCGUCUCAGAUGCCUCUUGGGGCAGCGAAGGGUCCCCAUUUGGACUCCAACUGAGCAGCUCCACAACCUUCAGUAUUGCAUCCACUCCAACCCCUCUUAGCGUUAGUCUCUCUCUGUUUCUGUUAAUUUCUUCGUUCUGGGUUUUAUAUUUUUUGAGUAAAAAGCUGAUUAAAGUUGUGCUAUUUUAAUGGGUUGGUUUAAAAGUUGAAGCUUUUGGCACUACUUCUUAUUUAGUUUACUAGUUUGCUUUUUAUUCCUAAUUUUGCAAAUUACUUUUACUAUUUUUGUUUCGGAUUCUCUAAUUUAUUGUGUUCGAAUCUUUUUAAGUACUGUAAUUAGUUCUAAUAAAAUAAUAAGCAUAUGUUCCAUUACCAGUUUCAACUUAUCCUGCUUACAAGACAUCGAUAUCACUCGAAAAUGUUUAGGAAGUGUAAACGUAAAUUUCCCAUGUUUAUCAAAUGCAACAAACUGCUUCUAAUGGAUCGAAUUUUACAGCGGAAACAUUCGUACUCGCUUUUCAGCACUAUAUUGUGAUGCUCGGAUCCAUAGUUAUAAUUGCCACUAGUUUCGUGCCUCGGAUGGGUGGGGAUCAUGUAAGUUAUGUCCUCUAUACAGUAAAGUUUAUAAUAUGCCGGUUAAGAUUAGCGAUCACACACGUAGCUUUGAAUCCGUGAUGUUAAUGUUUGGGUUUUGUUCUCCCUUUGUGAUCAGGGUGACAAGGCACGCGUGAUUCAGACGAUGCUGUUUAUGGCAGCAAUAAACACUUUGAUCCAAACAUUCACGGGACAAGGCUUCCAACAGUGAUGACUUCGUCAUUCGCUUUUACCCUUCCGGUGAUGUCAAUCAUCAAUGAUUAUUCUGAUCGGAAUUUUAGAAGUGAACAUGAGGUAUGUAAAGUUUGAAACAUGUUAUUCAUAGAGGAUUUAACAUCACAUUAAUUUACUUCUUAAAUUGCUUUAAGAAAUUUCAGUUAUAGACUUUGAGAUGAAAAAUACGUGGUGCAAAAAACGUGUAAACCUUACAUACCUGUAGAAGACGUCAUGAUGAAUUUCUGGUUUUGAGGACGGAAUAGAUUGAAGCACGUCCAUGCACUGUUGCGUCAUAUGCAACAAACUGAUGGGGAGUUCUAGGGUUGUGGCAUUAGCAAUGUGACAGGGACCUCAAACUUACAUAGGCCUCACGUCCCUAGAACCCUACCCACUAAUGGAGACUAGAAACUCUUAUGAUCCUCUAACGAGAAUAAUAAAGCCAAUGGAAAUGUUAGCACACAAUUGUUGUACAUAUAACAGACUUCGAGCAAUUUUUGGAACACGUAAAACAUUGUUAAGAAUAAGAUCAUGAGUAUUGGUUUUAAUGGUUGUUGCAUCAAUAUUCUUAAUGGAUAAACCUGUUCCAUUUCCAACUGUGAUUUUAUCAAAACCUUGGAAUGGUGUAACUUGAUUCAAUGUGGUGGCAUCAGCAGUGAUAUGAUGAGAUGCACCAGUAUCAACAAUCCAUGCAUCAUGAGGAAUAUAUUGUUCUAUCUGCUGUGUUGCCAUAGCUGUUAAGUUUGCAGGUGGUUGUUGGCCUUGAAAAACAUAAUUCCCUUUGUGAUAACAUUCAAGAGCUGAGUGACCUUUUUUUCCCACAAAUCUGACACUCCAUUUGAAAUCUAGUAUUUGGUGUAGUAGCAUUUCUGUGAAAACAAUUGACUGCAGUAUGCCCUUUCUUGUUGCAGAUUUGGCACUCAAUCACUGUUGUUGACCUGCUCUCUGUGUUUCCAUUCCACACAUUUGAACCAUUUGACCUUGAAUUGCCAUACGAAAAAUCAGAAGAGUUUCCUAUGUUGUAACCCUUGCUUUUGAAUCCACCAUUUGUCUUGUAAUUAUUGUUACCCUUGUAGUUUGAACCACCAAAAGGUUUCUGCAUGAAAUGAGGUAUUGGACCAGAAUUUGAUGCAUUAGCCAUAAACCCAAAACCAUAGGGAACUUGAGGAUAAACUGGACCAGGAAAUUGCGGAGACAUAGGAGGUUGAGGCAUAUGAGGUUGCUGUGGAUAUUGUUGUGGCAAGACAAAUGGCUGUGGUUAUUGUGGCUGUGGAUAUUGUUGUGGAUAUUGCUGUGGUAAAACAAAUGGCUCAGCAGAAUAUGGAUAUGGAUUAGGAGUUAUAACACCACCAGUGGUUGCAGGUAAAUGACUAUGCCCUGCAGGAUUAGACCCUGAAGCAAAUGAAUUUCCCUGAGUUGACUAAGAACCCUAAACAUAUAAGGCAGAUAGACUUUGAGACCCAACACUUGUGUCUCAUUCAAUCUCUUUUUCAGCUCUAAAUUUUUUCAAGGAAAUGGAUGAUUCUUUGCCAUAUAUCACAGUUCGAAUAGUUGCAUACUCCUUCGGCAAACCAGCUAAACCAGCAAUUAUAACAUCAUUAUCAGAAAUGAACUCUCCAGUAGCAGUUAAUUGUUCUCUUAUACUCUUCAAUCUUAACAGAUAUUUAUCCAUCAAAUCUCCUCAUUUUUGAAUGGUGUACAACUCAAUUUUUAAAUGAUUUACCCUAGUUUUAGACACUGAAGCAAAUCUAUCCACAAGAUUCGACCAAGCCUCACAAGCAGUUAAACAUCCAAGAACAUAUUUAAUAGCCUCAUCAAACAAAGUAGCUAGUAAAAGACUUAGUAAUGGAUAUGUGGAUUCCCAUUCAACAUAUUCAGCAAGUUCAGAAGUAACUCCUCUCUUAGUAUCUAUUACAAAUUUUUGUGGACAACCAAUAGUGCCAUCAAAAUGCCCAAACAAUUUAUGACCUUUCAACACAUAUUUGAACUGAAAAGCCCAUUUCACAAAAUUAUCAUCCUUCAACUUUAUUGUGAUCAUUCCCAGUUUCAACUUUAACACUUGAAGUAGUCAUGAUUUCUUGAUCGAACACAUAGAAUUUGCAAAUAACAAACAAACACCCAAAAAUUUCUGAUAUACGUAUUGAAAGGAAAGACUGAAACUUUCUCACAACCCAAGCAAGACUGAAACUCGCUUAAUACUCAGGAAAAACUGAAACUUUCUUGAUGAAUCUUGCACACAAAUACAACACACAAUUCCAAUUCGGAAAAGAAAACACAAAAUCUUCUAAUCAGGACUGAAACCCAAUUACUCAACAGAAAUUCACACUAUCACUUGAAUUGCAGCUGUGAUUGCAGCCACAAAUAGCCAGAAUACCAACCGCCAGAAAGAACAACAAGGAUCUGCAAUCGCCAGAACUUUUGAACAAACCCGUUGAAAAGACCUUUCAGAAUCCUUGAACUGGAUAGCAGCGAAAGAACUAGGAUCGAAAACGGUAGUGAACCAUGGUCAGCGAUGAUACCAUAUUAACAGUGUUGAAUUGUGGCCAAGUGGCCAUCACCUUUCGGCUAAUAAACAAACAAAGAAAAGAAAAAGAAAGACAAAAUGAUGAGGAAACAUCAUGAUGAGGAGGCAUCAUGAUUAUGCUUUCUUGUAGUUUUUUAAUAACCAUAAUUAUUGUUUUUGUUUCGGGUAGAAGAGAAGAAAGGGAGAGCUCAUUUUUUAGAAGAAAGCAUAUUAAAGAGAGAAGAGGAGAGAGAGAAGGUAGAGCCUUUUGGUUAUAAAAGGCAUUCGAUUAUGCCUUUGGAUGUGGGAGGGGGGGGAGCGGCAGAUGAGAGAGCACAGGGAGAGCAUUCGGCUCUCCCAUUUGAAUAUGAGCUGCUCCUUCCCACCAUUUGUAAUAAUCCCAUUUUGUUAGUAAUCACUCAAUCAAAGAUGUUGGUGCUACUUGUGUAGCUUUUGGGAGAGAAGGAUUUUGAUAUGUGUUUCUUCUUCUCCAUUUGUUUCUUAGUUUGAGUGAGAGCUAUUGGGUGUAUGUGGGAUUUGGGUUUGAGUGUUGAACUCUAUUUGUAAUCUCCUUUUGAUAUUAAUGGAAUUUCCUCGCCGUCUCGGAACUGGAUGUAGGCUUACGCCAAACCAGUAUAAAAAUCCUUGUGUCUUUUGGAUUAUUUGUCUUGUCAUAUUUUGCCGUUAUUAGCUUUGAUUUCAUAUUUGAAGCUUCCGCACAACAAGUGGUAUCAAAGCUCCGGGUUUCGACUUGGAGGCUUUGUACUAGUAUGUCUAUGAAAUCUUCAAAUGACGGUGAAAUAUGUUUUUUGGAAAAAUUCGACUGGAGGAAUGACUUUGGCAUUUGGUCAAUUGGAGAUGCAGAGUUUGGCUGCAAAAUGCGUGGCGUUGAAGAAGGAUAGUAAGGGACUAUGCUGCAGUCAUUGAGCUUGCAGAUUGGAGAAUGGUUUCGGAAACAGCGUGUCUGCUGCAAUGUUGCCGUCGAUGUUGUUGAAGUGUUGGUGUUCGACAGCUGCAGAUGUAGUGUACUGCUUUUGGUGGGUUCUCUGUUGGUCAUCGCUGCACCGGAGGUGUUUGUGGGCUGUUGUCGACGAGUUGAGUGGGAAGGAGAAAAGGUAGAAGCAGUUGAAAAUUGAAAAGAAAAUGUUGGUUCUUUUUCUUUCGGCAUUUGUUUUGGCAGAAGGACAUCAUGAUGACAAAUGAUGUUGUUGGCUGGAAGAAAAGGGAAAAAGGCUAAGGCUAAGUUUUCUUUUCUUUGGCAUUUUUUCAACGGCAGAAAAUUUUUGGUUCUUUUUUCACUCCCAUUAGUUGCCUUUGGAGCAAGUUGAUGGAAACAUUGGAGGAGUUUGUGAGGGCCAAUUUGUUGAGUUCUGCAAGUUUGGAUAGUGAGGCACCACACUAUUUUGGAUACACCACAUGCACUGCAGAACAUUUGUGUGGAACCCUCUUGUAGAAGGCAAGUUAUAUGCUUUCUAACUUUGUUUGGUCUAUGGACAUUUAGUUGGAUUUGUUUGCCACUGCUAUUUGGUUUGUUGGUCUCCAUCAUCUGCAAUUAGUUUUCUUGAAGACUCCAGUUGAGGUAUGGUUUUGGAUCUCCUGCUGAUUAUUUGAAUUUGAAAUUUUUGGUUGUCCUGUUGGUGCUCAUGUGAUGAUGGUAAACUUGAGUGGAGGGCAUAGUUUUUUUGUAUGUGGUAUGUUAGACCUUGUUGCCAAAUUUGUAAUCAGUUUUGACUUGGAGAAUAUGCCGUGCUAUUUGAAUGAGUCUAUUGAUGCAGUUUAAGACCAUGGUGUUUGUAAGCAGGUGGAGUUCGUUCUGUGUCCAACUUUGGUAUGGUGUGCUUGAUCUUUUGUUAGUGAUAUUGAAGAAUUUCAGUUCUUCGUUUGAAUCACUUUUGUUUUGAUCAAGGCACUUAUGGUUUGCAAAUUUGGAGAAUACGGUAGAGAAAUGGUCUACUUUUGUUGGCUUUGGUAUAAUUUGAGUCGAGGUGGAGAUCAUUAUGAGUACCGGAAAGUUUGGGGAAUUUGAUUUAGUUCCCGUUGUCUUUAGUUUGUACUUUGGGUGAUUAUGGUGAUUGUUGAUUCGAUUCUCUGUGAUGGUUUCGGAACUUGGCCAAGGUGGAGAUUGUUGAAUUGUGGCCAAGUGGCCAUCAUCGGCUAAUAAACAAACAAAAGAAAAGAAAAAGAAAGACAAAAUGAUGAGGAAACAUCAUGAUGAGGAGGCAUCAUGAUUAUGCUUUCUUCUUUUGUGGUUUUUUAAUAACCAUAAUUAUUGUUUGUUUAUUAGCCGAAAGGUGAUGGCCACUUGGCCACAAUUCAACAAUCUCCACCUUGGCCAAGUUCCGAAACCAUCACAGAGAAUCGAAUCAACAAUCACCAUAAUCACCCAAAGUACAAACUAAAGACAACGGGAACUAAAUCAAAUUCCCCAAACUUUCCGAUACUCAUAAUGAUCUCCACCUUGACUCAAAUUGUACCAAAGCCAACAAAAGUAGACCACUUCUCUACCGUCUUCUCCAAAUUUAAAUCCUAUGAAGAAAGGGAGAGCUCAUUUUUUAGAAGAAAGCAGAUUGAAGAGAGAAGAGGAGAGAGAAGGUAGAACCUUUUGGUUAUAAAAGGCAUUCGAUUAUGCCUUUGGAUGUGGGGAGAGCGGCAGAUGAGAGAGCACAGGGAGAGCAUUCGGCUCUCCCAUUUGAAUAUGAGUUGCUCCUUCCCACCAUUUGUAAUAAUCCAAUUUUGUUAGUAAUCACUCAAUCAAAGAUGUUGGUGCUACUUGUGUAGCUUUUGGGAGAGAAGGAUUUUGAUAUGUGUUUCUUCUUCUCCAUUUGUUUCUUAGUUUGAGUGAGAGCUAUUGGGUGUAUGUGGGAUUUGGGUUUGAGUGUUGAACUCUAUUUGUAAUCUUCUUUUGAUAUUAGUGGAAUUUCCUCGCCGUCUCGGAACUGGAUGUAGGCUUAUGCCGAACCAGUAUAAAAAUCCUUGUGUCUUUUGGAUUAUUUGUCUUGUCAUAUUUUGCCAUUAUUAGCUUUGGUUUCAUAUUUGAAGCUUCAGCAAUACAAACAGUACAAGAUCAAUGAAUUCCUAUGAAUGAAUAAACUAAAGAAAUCGAAGAAAGAGAAUAACGAGAGAGAAAAGCUUUUCAUUUAUAUUGCUCUAACAGAAAAUGAUUACAUGAUAAAAAUCUAAGUCUCCAAAACAAUAAUUAUAUAGAGACUAGAAUGAGCAGAAUCACAAUAUUGCCUUUCUAACUAAUUCUUAUCUUCUAACAACCUCAACACUCACAAGCUUGACACUUGUCAUUUCUUACAACCACUCCUAACAAAUCCUAACUGUUUAUCUGGUUAAUAUAACGGAUGGCCGACGACCGACACCGAGAUUUUCCCAAACCUUGGUCCUUACUCUCGUAUAAAUUCGAAACGAACAGUAAACAAUUUUCUCGCAAUCGGAAGCACGGCAAACAUGGAUCUGAGAGAAAGCAUCAUCAACCAAAACGACGUCGCAAGGAGGCUGACGAAGCAGCUGGUUCAGACCGAAGGCAAGCAGUCGAACCUCGUGUACUCGCCGCUGUCCAUCCACGUGGUGCUGAGCCUGAUCGCAGCCGGGUCAAAGGGUCCCACCCAGGAGCAGCUGCUCUCAUUCCUCAAGUCAGAGUCCACCGACCACCUCAACUCCUUCGCCUCCCAGCUCCUGCCCUUUAUCUUCUCCGAUGGGUCCCCCGUGGGCGGCCCCAAGCUGGCGUUUGCGAAUGGCGUUUGGGUGCAGAAGCCUCUCCCUCUGAAGCCUUCCUUCAAGCAGGUGGUGGAAGCUUCUUACAGGGCCGCUCUCGUCCUAGUUGAUUUUCAGACCAAUGUAAGCUCCCAAACCCUCUGUCAUGUCGUUUCGAUUGUUUUUGUCGAUGCUGCUCAUGAUCAAAGUCUUUGGUUGUAAUUUCAGACCAAUGUUUCAAUGUCGAUGCUGCUGAUGCUCUUUUGUUCGUUACUGUUUUUGGUUGUAAUUGAUCGAGAUAUGCAGGUUGAUAUCAUUGUUUUCUAACUUGUCGUAACUGUUGUUGGUGCUCAAGGCUGCUCAAGUGGAGUCGGAAGUGAAUUCAUGGGCUGAAAAGGAGACGAGCGGCCUUAUCAAGGAUCUACUUCCUCCCGGGUCACUUGACAGCUUCACCAGGCUCAUCUUUACCAAUGCAUUAUACUUCAAGGGAGCUUGGAAUGAGAAAUUUGAUGCAACAGCUACAAAAGAGCAUGACUUCCACCUUCUCGACGGGAGCACAGUUAAGGCGCCCUUCAUGACCAACAAGAACCAGCAGUAUGUAAGUGCCUUUGACGGUUUCUCAGUCUUAGGGCUUCCUUACAAACAAGGUGAAGACAAGCGGCGCUUCUCCAUGCACAUCUUUCUUCCACAGGAGAAAGAUGGGCUGCCAGCUUUGGUUGAGAAACUUGGCUCUGAGUCCGGGUUUUUAGAUCGCUAUCUUCCCAAACAACCAGUUGCAGUGGGCGACUUCAGAAUCCCAAAGUUUAAGAUCUCAUUUGGGUUUGAAGCUUCCAAUGUCCUAAAGAGUCUGGGACUGGUGCUGCCUUUCGUGGGUGGAGGUCUGACAGAGAUGGUGGACUCGCCCGAGGGUAAGAAGCUAUAUGUUUCCAACAUAUUCCACAAGUCGUUCAUCGAAGUGAAUGAAGAAGGCACAGAAGCUGCAGCUGCUUCUGCCGGCGUUAUAAGUGAUAGGAGGAUGCCCAUGACAUUUGUGGCUGAUCGUCCGUUCCUCUUCACGAUCAGGGAAGAAACGACCGGAACAGUUCUGUUCAUCGGUAACCUGCUCAACCCUCUUGCCGGCUGAGUGUUACAAUCCCCUGGGAAAAGGCAUCAUGUGUACGUAGAAUAAUACGAGAGUAUAGUAAAUAAAAUGUAUGAUCCUUGUAUACAUGUGCUAGGUUUGGUUAUUACCUAAUCACCCUGUACUUGCCGCAGUUGGUCUUGUUUCUCCCAUGUGGCGAUUGUUGCUCGUUCUCCCAUGGCGUUUAUCUAUUUGUACAAUCUUGAUUCUGAAUACUUAUUUUAUGUUGUACUCUGUUUGAACAAUUAAAGUUUUAGCCGACUGCAAACGUCGGUUAAGUGUUAAAGUAUUUGGACAGGGAUUGUCUGCUUUUUCAUUUUUCGUGUCCUUCUGUUUUGUGUGUUCACAGUUAAACUACGUCAAUAUUUUAUAUUAUUUUUUUAUAGAAAUAAUAAGAUAAAAAUAAAUAAUAAUAUAAAAUAUUAACGUGACUUAACUGUAACCACACAAACAGGAGGGCACGGAAGACCACCGGAAGUGGAAGAGCGGACAUUCUUGUCCAAAGUAUUUAAUAUAUAGAAUGUACGAGUGCUAGUGCUGUACCAUAUACAUGGUUGGUGAUGAAAAGGAUUAAACUAUGAAUAUUCUAUAAAAUAUUAUUUACCCUAGGACGAGGAUUUUCUUUGGAUCUUCUUUACGAGGAUCUUAGGAAUUAAUUCAUUUUAACGGUUUAUUGUACAUCGUACGGUCAACUUUCGUUAGAUACUUUUUAUGUUUAAUUUUAAAUAAAUUCAAAAUAAUUUUUCACUGCAUGAUGCAUUGAUUCCUAAAGCACUCGCAAAGAGACUCCAGAUGUUUAGUUCUCCAUGACUGGAGAUGGCCUAAGAUGCUAAACACUUAACACUAACCAAUUUUUCCGGUUAGUUAAAUUGUUUAAUAAAUGCUAUCCACACUCUAAAAUAAUUGACCAUAUUUUCUUGACUCUUUUGUUAGAUUGCAUGAAAUAUUGUUCGAGUAAAUAAUCUCUCAAGUAUCACUCAGACUUCAUAAUGAUUUUGAUUUUGAUUACAUAGUAAGCAUGUCAUUAAGGUCAAAUUUUGAACAAACACCCAAUUACAUAGCACGCAUGUUAUUAUGGUGUAUGCUCAUUGUCACUUUCAAAACUUGACACCUGUCUACUAACAUAACCGAUGGCCGACGACCGACACCUUCCCAAACCUUGGUCCUUACCCUCGUAUAAAUUCGAAACGAACAGUAAACAAUUUUCUCGCAAUCGGAAGCACGGCAAACAUGGAUCUGAGAGAAAGCAUCAUCAACCAAAACGACGUCGCAAGGAGGCUGACGAAGCAGCUGGUUCAGACCGAAGGCAAGCAGUUGAACCUCGUGUACUCGCCGCUGUCCAUCCACGUGGUGCUGAGCCUGAUCACAGCCGGGUCAAAGGGUCCCACCCAGGAGCAGCUGCUCUCAUUCCUCAAGUCAAAGUCCACCGAUCACCUCAACUCCUUCGCCUCCCAGCUAGUGUCCGUGAUCUUCUCCGAUGGGUCCCCCGUGGGCGGCCCCAAGCUGGCGUUUGCGAAUGGGCUUUGGGUGCACAAGCCUCUCACGCUGAAGCCUUCCUUCAAGCAGGUGGUGGACGCUUCUUACAAGGCAGCUCUCGCCCUAGUCGAUUUUCAGACUAAUGUAAGCUCCCAAACCCUCUGUCAUGUCGUUUCGAUAGUUUUUUUUUCAAUGCUGCUCAUGAUCAAAGUCCUGAAUUUUUUUUCCCGAUUUGAUUAGAGAUGUAUAAAUAUUUCCUAAAUUGCAGGCCUGCUGAUGCUCUUUUAUUCUUGUAGCAUUUCAACUAAAUAUUUCCUCUCUAAUCAUUACUGUUUGUGCUUGUUCUUGUGCAUAGCCGUUACGAAAUCGUAUCGAAGAUUUUUUUGUUCGUUACUGUUUGUGGUUAUAAUCUAGGUAUUAAAUAUUGAUAAUAUCGGAAAUAUCGGUAGUCCAGAAACACGGAAAUAUUGAUGGAAAUAUCGGGAUAUUAUCGAUAUGUAUAAAAAUAAUAUGGAAACCACGGAAAUUGUAAGAAAAACUUGGAAAUUUUUAUUGAAACUUUGCAGGAUGUUUAUUUAGUCAAUUAUCUAUUAGUUUAUCACAAAAUAUUGGAAGGAAAUGUAUUACAUAAUAGAUUUAACUGAUUUAAGUUGAUUAUAUAGCGAACUAGCGAACUACCAAACAUUAUGAGUUAGAAAAUAUGUAGUAAUUAAUAAAAGAAGUUUAAACACACAGUCACCGACUAUUAAAAAUUGUACAUGUAAAAGCUGUAAAAGUUGAAUUAUUUAGAUGCUUUUUUUUCUUACAUGCCACCCACACACACACACACACAGACUCUCACACGCCAACACACACGCACACACAGAUCACACACACAUCACACACACAGACAGAGACUGAGGUCUCUCUUUCUCGAUCCUUCUCUCUUCUCUCUCGAUCCUUCUCCCUUCUCUUCGACAGAGACUGAGGUCUAUCUCUCUCUCGAUCCUUCUCUCUUCUCUCCCUUCUCCAUUCUCCCACACACACACCCAGAUCUCUCGAUCUCUCUUCUCCCUUCUCCCACACACACGCACAGAGACCUCGCCCCUCCCCCCUCGUCAUCGUCUCCACCGCAAAUCUAGGUCUUUGAACGUAAAUUGCAGGCCUGCUGAUGCUCUUUUAUUCUUGUAGCAUUUCAACUAAAUAUUUCCUCUCUAAUCAUUACUGUUUGUGCUUGUUCUUGUGCAUAGCCGUUACGAAAUCAUAUCGAAGAUUUUUUGUUUGUUACUAUUUGUGGUUAUAAUCUAGGUAUUAAAUAUUGGUAAUAUCGGUAGUCCAGAAACACGGAAAUAUUGAUGGAAAUAUCGGGAUAUUAUCGAUAUGUAUAAAAAUAAUAUGGAAACCACGGAAAUUGUAAGAAAAACUUGAAAAUUUUUAUUGAAACUUUGCAGGAUGUUUAUUUAGUCAAUUAUCUAUUAGUUUAUCACAAAAAAAUUGGAAGGAAAUGCAUUGCAUGAUAGAUUUAACUGAUUUAAGUUGAUUAUAUAGCGAACUAGCGAACUAGCAAACAUUAUGAGUGUAGAAAAUAUGUAGUAAUUAAUGAAAGAAGUUUAAACACACAGUCACCGACUAUUAAAAAUUGUACAUGUAAAAGCUGUAAAAGUUGAAUUAUUUAGAUGUUUUUUUUUCUUACAUGCCAUCCACACACACACACACACACAGACUCUCACACGCCAACACACACCACGCAUACACAGAUCACACACACAGACAGAGACUGAGGUCUCUCUCUCUCGAUCCUUCUCUCUUCUCUCUCGAUCAUUCUCCAUUCUCUCUCGACCUAGACUGACUCUCUCUCUCUCUCUCUCUCUCUCUCUCUCUCUCUCUCUCUCUCUUUCCCACACACACACAGAUCUUUCGAUCUCUCUUCUCCCUUCUCCCACACACACGCACAGAGACAUCGUCCUUCGUCAUCGUCAUCGUCUCCCACACACACGCACAGAGACCUCGCCCCUCGUCAUCGUCUCCACCGCAAAUCUAGGUCUUUGAACGUAAAUUGCAGGCCUGCUGAUGCUCUUUUAUUCUUGUAGCAUUUCAACUAAAUAUUUCCUCUCUAAUCAUUACUGUUUGUGCUUGUUCUUGUGCAUAGCCGUUACGAAAUCGUAUCGAAGAUUUUUUGUUCAUUACUGUUUGUGGUUAUAAUCUAGGUAUUAAAUAUUGGUAAUAUCGGAAAUAUCGGUAGUCCAGAAACAUGGAAAUAUUGAUGGAAAUAUCGGGAUAUUAUCGAUAUGUAGAAAAAUAAUAUGGAAACCACAAAAAUUGUAAGAAAAACUUGAAAAUUGUUAUUGAAACUUUGCAGGAUGUUUAUUUAGUCAAUUAUAUAUUAGUUUAUCACAAAAAAUUGGAAGGAAAUGCAUUGCAUGAUAGAUUUAACUGAUUUAAGUUGAUUAUAUAGCGAGCUAGCAAACAUUAUGAGUAGAAAAUAUGUAGUAAUUAAUGAAAGAAGUUUAAACACACAGUCACAGACUAUUAAAAAUUGUACAUGUAAAAGCUGUAAAAGUUGAAUUAUUUAGAUACUUUUUUUUCUUACACGCCACCCACCCACACACACACACACACUCUCACACGCCAACACACACGCACACACAUACACACAUCACACACAGACAGAGACUGAGGUCUCUCUUUCUCGAUCCUUCUCUCUUCUCUCUCGAUCAUUCUCCCUUCUCUCCGACAGAGACUGAGGUCUCUCUCUCUCUCUCGAUCCUUCGCUCUUCUCUCCCUUCUCCAUUCUCCCACACACACACACAGAGAUCUCUCGAUCUCUCUUCUCCCUUCUCCCACACACACGCACAGAGACAUCGUCCCUUGUCAUCGUCAUCGUCUCCCACACACACAUACACAGACCUCGCCCCUCGCCCCUCGUCAUCGUCUCCAUCGCAGAUCUAGGUCUUUGAAUGUCAAAGUUUCGAGCGCACCUCAAAUCCAGGCAAUCUGAUUCUGACGCUGUAGUCGUCGCCGCCACCACCAACUUCCUAAGCCAAGAAUGGAGAACCUGAUCUCGUUGGUGAACAAAAUCCAGAGGGCUUGUACUACUCUAGGGGACUAUGGCGAAGGUAGUGCAUUCGUCGUCGCCGUCGUCGCCAUCGCCGUCAGUGGUCAGAUCAACUCCCGGUCCCUCACCUUCUUACCUCUUCGAUUGAUUCAUGCAUAUGAAUUGUGGUUGUGUUUUCAAUCGCUCUGUAGCUUAGAUCUUGAUCUUAAUCAUGUUUUUGCAAGGUUUUUGGGAUGAAAUCGGCUCGGGAAUCGGCACACCCAUUUCCGGCGUUCUUCUCCGAGUAGCCAGUUCCAAAAAUAUCGUGAUAAUUUCGGAAAUAUUACGAUAUUAUCGAUAGUAUAGCUAUAUUUUGACGAAAACCCUUUGGAUACCUAUUAAAAUAUCGGUCCGGCGAAAAACCGAUAAUAUCGACGAUAUAUUGGCGAUUUUGUUCCUUGGUUAUAAUUGAUCGAGAUAUGCAGGCUGAUAUCAUUGUUUUCUAACUUGUCGUAACUGUUGUUGGUGCUCAAGGCUGCUCAAGUGGCGUCGGGAGUGAAUUCAUGGGCUGAAAAGGAGACGAGCGGCCUUAUCAAGGAUCUACUUCCUCCCAGGUCACUUGACAGCUCAACCAGGCUCAUCUUUACGAAUGCAUUGUACUUCAAAGGAGCUUGGACUGAGAAAUUUGAUGCAUCAGCUACAAAAGAGCAUGACUUCCACCUUCUCGACGGGAGCACAGUUAAGGCGCCCUUCAUGACCAGCAAGAGGAAGCAGUAUGUAAGUGCCUUUGACGGUUUCUCAGUCUUAGGGCUUCCUUACAAACAAGUUGAAGACAAGCGGCGCUUCUCCGUGCACAUCUUUCUUCCAGAGGAGAAAGAUGGGCUGCCAGCUUUGGUUGAGAAACUUGGCUCUGAGUCCGGGUUUUUGGAUCGAUAUCUUCCCAAACAACCAGUUGCAGUGGGCGACUUCAGAAUCCCAAAGUUUAAGAUCUCAUUUGGGUUUGAAGCUUCCAAUGUCCUAAAGAGUCUGGGACUGGUGCUGCCUUUCGAGGGUGAAGGAGGUCUGACAGAGAUGGUGGACUCGCCCGAGGGUAAGAAGCUAUAUGUUUCCAGCAUAUUUCACAAGUCGUUCAUCGAAGUGAAUGAAGAAGGCACAGAAGCUGCAGCUGCUUCUGCCGGCGUUAUAAGUCAGAGGAGUAUGCCCAUGACAUUUGUGGCUGAUCAUCCAUUCCUCUUCACGAUCAGGGAAGAAACCACAGGAACAGUUCUGUUCAUCGGUAACCUGCUCAACCCUCUUGCCGGCUGAGUGUUACAAUCCCCUGGGAAAAGGCAUCAUGUGUACGUAGAAUAAUACGAGACUAUAGUAAAUAAAAUGUAUGAUCCUUGUAUACAUGUGCUAGGUUUGGUUAUUAC
rnacentral:lncRNA from 1 species